GAUGAAGAACGCAGCGAAAUGCGAUAAGUAAUGCGAAUUGCAGAAUUCAGUGAAUCAUCGAAUCUUUGAACGCACAUUGCGCCCGCCAGUAUUCUGGCGGGCAUGCCUGUCCGAGCGUCAUUUCAACCAUCAAGCCCCGGGCUUGUGUUGGGGACCUGCGUCCGACGCAGGCCCCGAAAACCAGUGGCGGGCUCGCUGUCCACACCGAGCGUAGUAGCUAACCUCGCUCCGGAGUGGCGCGGGCGCCUGCCGUAAAACCCCCCAAUUUUACAAGGUUGACCUCGGAUCAGGUAGGAAUACCCGCUGAACUUAAGCAUAUCAAUAAGCGGAGGA
rnacentral:misc_RNA from 1 species